rnacentral:rRNA from 1 species
AACGAACGCUGGCGGCGUGCUUAACACAUGCAAGUCGAACGAGGAAAGCGGGAGCUUGCUCCUGCUGGAUUAGUGGCGAACGGGUGAGUAACACGUGAGCAAUCUGCCCCGAACUCUGGGAUAAGCGUUGGAAACGACGUCUAAUACCGGGUACGACGCGCGAAGGCAUGUUCUGCGCGUGGAAAGAACUUCGGUUGGGGAUGAGCGCGCGGCUUAUCAGCGAGUUGGUGAGGUAACGGCCCACCAAGGCGACGACGGGUAGCCGGCCUGAGAGGGUGACCGGCCACACUGGGACUGAGACACGGCCCAGACCCCUACGGGAGGCAGCAGUGGGGAAUAUUGCACAAUGGGCGCAGGCCUGAUGCAGCAAUGCCGCGUGAGGGACGACGGCCUUCGGGUUGUAAACCUCUUUUAGUAGGGAAGAAGCGAAAGUGACGGUACCUGCAGAAAAAGCACCGGCUAACUACGUGCCAGCAGCCGCGGUAAUAC